UACGGGGGGGGGCAAGCGUUGUUCGGAAUUACUGGGCGUAAAGGGCUCGUAGGCGGCCAACUAAGUCAGACGUGAAAUCCCUCGGCUUAACCGGGGAACUGCGUCUGAUACUGGAUGGCUUGAGUUUGGGAGAGGGAUGCGGAAUUCCAGGUGUAGCGGUGAAAUGCGUAGAUAUCGGGAGGAACACCAGUGGCGAAGGCGGCGACCUGGACAGAUAUUGACGCUGAGGUGCGAAAGCGUGGGGAGCAAACAGG
rnacentral:rRNA from 1 species